rnacentral:rRNA from 1 species
UACGGAGGGUGCAAGCGUUAAUCGGAAUUACUGGGCGUAAAGCGCACGCAGGCGGUAUGUUAAGCUAGAUGUGAAAGCCCCGGGCUCAACCUGGGAAGGUCAUUUAGGACUGGCAUACUAGAGUCUUGUAGAGGGGUGUGGAAUUCCAGGUGUAGCGGUGAAAUGCGUAGAGAUCUGGAGGAACAUCGGUGGCGAAGGCGACACCCUGGACAAAGACUGACGCUCAUGUGCGAAAGCGUGGGUAGCGAACAGG